UGGGAGUUCAACUUUUCCACCAUUUGGUGGGGGUGAAGACAUCAUUCCUGGGUUCUGAUGUGUGUGUUCAUCAGCUGUCCAUUGUCACAGAAAAGGCUUAACAUAAUUAACUGGGAAUGGCUUAUUUAUGGUAUAGCUUUGGAGGUUCCAGUGCAGGGUUAAUUGGUGAUGGAAAACACUAUAUUGUUGAGAAGCAAAGAAAGGUAGGGAGGAAGGAGCUGUGGUCUCACUAGCCUUUCGGGAGAAUGCUUCUAGUGACCUAAGUCUGACACCAUAUCCAUUUCUGAAAGUUCUAAUGUUUCCCAGCCUUGCUAGGGUCUAAAGC
rnacentral:lncRNA from 1 species